rnacentral:rRNA from 1 species
UACGGAAUGUGCAAACGUUAUUCGGAAUCACUGGGCUUAAAGAGUCCGUAGGCGGCUUGUUAGGUGAGGUGUGAAAUCCCUCGGCCCAACCGAGGAAUUGCGCUUCAAACCGGCAAGCUAGAGGAGGAUAGAGGUGGGCGGAACUGAUGGUGGAGCGGUGAAAUGCGUUGAUAUCAUCAGGAACACCGGAGGCGAAGGCGGUCCACUGGGUCCUUUCUGACGCUGAGGGACGAAAGCUAGGGGAGCGAACGGGAUUAGAUACCCCGGUAGUCCUAGCCUUAAACGAUGAGCACUAGACCGAAGAACCUCCACGGUUUUUUGGUCGUAGCGAAAGUGUUAAGUGCUCCGCCUGGGGAGUAUGGUCGCAAGGCUGAA